rnacentral:lncRNA from 1 species
UCAAUCUUAACACAAACAUUCUUCAUUUAUUGAAUAACUCAAUAUUUAUCAAAUUCUCAUUUUACACAUCAAAAAUCAUCAUUUCGAUAUAAUAUAGUUCCUACUUAAAGGAGACAACUUUCUUGCACACAGACCUCUAUUUUUAAUCAUCCAGAUCGCAAGAAAUCGUGUUGCAUAUCAUACCUGCAAAAAUUAUAAAUUAUAUUUUUGCAAGACUGAGCUCGACAACCCAACAAAUCUAACAGUUUUCAUGCUUCAUAUAACACGUAGUUUCAUGCUCAACAUAUAUCUCUUAAUCCUUUCUACCAUCCAUGCAUCAUCACUUUAAAUAAUAUAUGUUCAUAUCAUAUAUCACAUGUAUAUUGAGUUCCAUAACUCAAUCAGCUUAGUUAUAUAUUGACUUUCACAGUUUAUAGCAUGUAACAUGUAAUUCAACAUAUUCUUAAAGAUCUCAUACAAUAACCAAUUCAUAGAAUCACAAAGAAAUUGAAAGACUUGCCUUGAUCGAUGACUAUUGAGAAAAAUCUUACUUUAACUUUACCUCACGAAUCCUACACAUUUAUGUUCACCUGUAUGUAUACAUUAGCGACAUAUUCAUGUCACAUAGCUUGUACAACUAUAAACAUUCAUAUAAACCAUAAUAACACCUCUUUAUGUCUGUUUCUGGAAAAACUUCCUUAUUUCCUUAGAAAUUUCGGGGUUUUUGGCUUAAUAUAGCCAUAAACUUGCAAAAAAGUUUCAACGCAACUUUUAAAACGUCAAUACAUUGUAUUUAUAGUUUAUAAACCUUUUAUAAUGUAUUUAUGGACUUAACACGCAUCUAUAUGUAGACUUAUAGUCAUAUAGUACAUCUGUGACUUUACUUUGAGUAUUCAUAGCUUAUUUUCGUUUUCGUGAGUAAUUUAAAUGAUAUUCCGCACGAAUACUAGCUUUAUAGGCUUAAUGCAUUCAUAUAACAUUACUUUCCCCAUUUCAUGUAUACACGAGGUACAUAUAUGCUUUUGCAUAUACGCCUCUCUUAUAAUGUCAAACCUUGCCCUCAUUUGAUUGACUUAUAGGAAGACAUAUGCUAUUUGUAUGUCUUAUACCUACACAUAGCUUAUUUAUGUCAAACGUUGAGUUUUCAACUCCAUUUGCAUAAUCUUUUCUUUGUAUUUUGAAAACCGUUCGGUUCCGAGGUAUAGCUUUGGAAUAGCUUUCAUUAACGUCAACGUAUUCCCAUUACAUGGAUAUAUUAUUCAUACUUAUGUAAAAUUAUGUUUACAUAUUGCGUUUAUAGCUUUUUAUGCGCAUUGAACGGAUACAUGGGUUAUAUAGUUCUUAAACUAUGUUUUAUAUCCGUUUCAGUGCUUCAAGGUAUGCCUAACUGCUAAAAACAUUGAAAUAUGUGUCGCAACAUUCAAACACGUGCCAAGACAUCGGAUAUUGCAUUAAGUUUCCAAAACCACGUUGCAGCGUCGGAUUGGGCUCGGCUGCCCUUGGUUUGGCCCAACCGGCCUUGACAUAGGCCGCUGGCGAACAUGUUUUGACGUUCACUUUGCAAGUUUUUAGUUUUUACCUCACCUGCCCGAUUCCGUCCAAUUUUGGAUAUGUUAUAGAUGGUAUGUCCUCCUAUUUUUAAAAAACGCUAGCCUUGCAUUUUGGGCAUCCUAAGCGAGAGAAAACAAGGCGUCAAAAAGGUAGCAGGUGGCUGGGAUGCUAUGGGCAGCCCCACCUUUUGCCGCGUAGCAACUUUGCAAUUUUCUCACGCCUUACUCGCUUACCGGAAAAUUCCCAAAUUUUAAUAUGUUUUUCGUAUCAUUUGAGACUAUUUUAAAAAAAAAUCAAACUCCCAUUUCGGGUUCUCUAGACAAUCUAAACAUUGCGCCAAAAGUGGACGUUCACAACAGUUUUCACUAUUUCUCCAGAUUUACCCUCUCGCGCUAAAAUAAUCAUCUUCUUUGUUUAAAACAUUUUUGAGCAAUUCUUGGGCCCACACGAAGCUAACUUCUGGGGAUACAACUUUUACUCUUUGACCAUUUUCAAAUUCCUAACACAAAAUUCCAGAAAAUUCAUGCAAGGGACUGCUUCGAAUCUGUUUUCCAGAUUUUGGACAGAUUCGACACACUUACUUUGGAAUGCCAUAACUCCCUCCUCCGAGGUCGGAAUUAGUCCAUUCUGAAGGAUAUGGAUUCCUUAUUCAGUGUAUUAUACUUUCCCAAAAAUCCAGAAUUUUUCUAGAAACAUAAUUAGUCCCGAAAUUGGCCUCAAGGUCAGUAGCCAAACUAGUUUUCAACUUUUCGUUUUGUCUCAAAAAUGUUUUCUCUCUUGAUUCAAUUAACCCAAAACCUCUAAUUAGUUAUAUAUAAUGUGUAUAUAUAUAACUCGGGUCUUGGCUUCGCUUAGUUUUCAUUUAUUUAACAAAAACAGUCCUUAGAGAACUUUUAGCGAACACAUAGUGUGCGUCGCUUUAAAAUUCAGUUUUCAUAGAGUUUGGUUUGUGUUCUAGCCCAAUUUUUCCCACCUUAUUACACCGCACAACCAAUCCUAUACUCGUUAGCUCUAAUUUCAGUCCAUACCUAUUAACUGCACAACCAAAUCAUGUAUAUAUAUAAUUAGUUAGUUUACUAACUUUCUAACUUUUCAAAAUUUCAUUCUUCUUUGAUUCUACAUAUUUUCAAUAUGAAAUAAUACAAUUUCCAUACAUAACUCAAUUACCCAUGCUUUCAUAUACCAAUUACAGUCAAUAGAGAUCAACUACAUAACUAAAACCAAUUUAAUCCAUUUAAGUUACUAACUUUCUUUACUAUUAACUAACUUCAUAAGCACAAAUCAUAUAACGAGAUAAAAUGUUACCUCUUGAGCUGAAAUUUCACUUCAUUAUUUGAUUAGGAUUUCUAUCCAAUCAAUUAAUUGAUAUUACUUCCUAUCAAUUUCUUCUGUAGUUCGGAUAACAUAGAAGUGAGAUGAAUAGGAGAGGGAAAAAUUUGAAAGCCUGAGGUUUCUUUUUAUAGGAACUUGAUUUCUUGCUCCUUGCACAUUCUUGCUCCAUACGGAAAUGGCUUCAGCUGAGUUGCCUAGUCUAAGAUUAGAAUAGAAAUCCAGCUCCUGCUUUUAUUUCAUUACUCAACAUUCUUAUUAACAGCUCAAGCUUUUUAAUUACUUAGCCC